ACACUGACGUCGCGACGCAUAUCAAUAAGCGGAGGAAAAGAAACUAACAAGGAUUCCCUUAGUAACGGCGAGUGAAGCGGGAAGAGCUCAAAUUUGAAAUCUUCAAGGUUCUACCUUGACGAAUUGUAGUUUAAAGAAGUGUUUUCUGUUGGAGUUUUGGUAAAAGUUCUUUGGAAUAGGACAUCAUAGAGGGUGAGAAUCCCGUAUUUGGUCAUUCCUUCUAGCUUUGUGAUACACUUUCAAAGAGUCGGAUUGUUUGGGAAUGCAGUCCAAAAUGGGUGGUAAAUUUCAUCUAAAGCUAAAUAUUGGCGAGAGACCGAUAGCGAACAAGUACCGUGAGGGAAAGAUGAAAAGAACUUUGAAAAGAGAGUUAAACAGUACGUGAAAUUGUCAAAAGGGAAGCGUUUGACACCAGUGUUGUUUUCUCGAAAAUCAAUUAAAAAAAGUUGGAUUUUGUGUUGUAUUGACCUUAACAGCUUGCUUCACUCUUUUCCUGCUUUUUUUUAAUGCACUUUUCGUUUAACAAGUCAACAUCAGUUUCUUUUGUUGUAAAAGGGUCAUUGGAAGGUGGCUUUCUCUUCGGAGAAAGUGUUUAUAGCCUUUGAUCUCUGCAAUCGGAGAGACUGAGGUCUGCAGCGUAGAUCCUUCGGGGUUAGAUACACUUGUGCUAAGUUAUAGCUUUUCAUAGACAACUUGUUGACUAUGUUUAGUCAUGUGGACUUACCCGCUGCUGCUAUUUUACCUACGCUUAGGAUGUUGAGUCGUAGAGCACGCAG
rnacentral:rRNA from 1 species